rnacentral:rRNA from 1 species
GGGGAAUAUUGGACAAUGGGCGCAAGCCUGAUCCAGCCAUGCCGCGUGGGUGAAGAAGGCCUUCGGGUUGUAAAGCCCUUUUGUUGGGAAAGAAAAGCAGCCGGCCAAUACCCGGUUGUUCUGACGGUACCCAAAGAAUAAGCACCGGCUAACUUCGUGCCAGCAGCCGCGGUAAUACGAAGGGUGCAAGCGUUACUCGGAAUUACUGGGCGUAAAGCGUGCGUAGGUGGUGGUUUAAGUCCGUUGUGAAAGCCCUGGGCUCAACCUGGGAACUGCAGUGGAUACUGGAUCACUAGAGUGUGGCAGAGGGUAGUGGAAUUCCCGGUGUAGCAGUGAAAUGCGUAGAGAUCGGGAGGAAUACUCAUUGCGAAGGCGACCUGCUGGAACAUUACUGACGCUGAGGUGCGAAAGCGUGGGGAGCAAACA